GCGCGAGUGGUUUAGCGGUAAAAUUCAAAGUUGCCAUCUUUGAGCCCCCGGUUCGACUCCGGCUCGCGCA
rnacentral:tRNA from 1 species